CUGGCAGUGGCUGCUGCGAGAAAGGAUGAGAUAUGAAGCCGGGAAAGAGCUCAGCCUGUAGUGAAUUGCAGCUGUGCCCUGUGCAGUAUGAUCGACAAGUAUGGUGAAUGCUCAAACUUUUAAAAAAAUUAUCAUGAUAAAGGACCCUUUGCCAUGAAUUCCCCUCCUUGCUUCAGAUACACUGAUCGCAUCAUUCUUGCCACUUUCUGAAGCAGUUCUGGAGUCCUCUUUUGUGAGUAUUUUUAGUUGCUCUGUUGUGGCUGCCUCGAUGUCCUGAAUUGAUUGAAAAUGUCUCCCUUUCGUGGUCAUUUUGACUUUGAGAAAGAGCCAGAAGUCACAUGGUGCAAAGCCGGUGAAUAAGGUGGAUGAGGAUGCAGCGUCAUGUUUUAAGGAGCUGCCUUUGUGCUGCAUGGCAGACAGCGGCUGCAUUCUCUGUAUUUUUGAUCACACCUCAUACAGACAGCUUCAGAAAGGGGCACGGAUGAUGGGAUGAGGGUCUUGAAAGUGAAGGGGUCUUUUGAGGGGAAUUGAUGGUAAUGUGUCUUUCACUAUAAUACUUUUAAAAUUCACUCACAUACCAUAAGUUCCGAUCAUGCUUUGUAUCAGUUAAACUGUGCUUUUUAGGUAUGGGGCUCCUGCCCCAAAUUCUGUGCACAUUUCUGAAGCUGAUGUUCAUAUAGUUAGGAGGUGGAGAGCUCUCAAGCCUACUUUGCAGUUCCACAAACCCACCCUCAGGCCCGCUUCUCUCCAGGGUCUUGUGUGAGGGACGUCCAAAGCUCUCCUGGAUGCUGGAGCUUCCCUUUGUCCCUUGUCUGGGACGACAUUAGAGCGGGGGGCAUUACAGUGGCGUAGAAAGAGUGUGCUGAUUUCUUUGCUCUAUAAAAUACUCCUUAUAAACCGUAAAGUGAAAUAUUUACAUUUUACAUCCCCAGAUGUGCUGGUGGGUAGAGUGAAGUGAGCUGGUAGAUUUCCAAAUCCACAAAGCUUGGGGGAAUCUGGUUUUGUUCCACCAGGUGCAAACUGCUCCUCAGGGUUCGGGGAGCGGCAUUUCAUGUCUGACUUCUUGGUGGGGGUGGCAGAGCCUCCCAGCGGGGGACAACUUGGACCCAGGCUCUGGGUGACAGUCACUCAGGGUCUUAGUACCUCGGACGGAGAAAAAGUUUAUAUGUAUAAAAUUAAUUUUUCUGUUUAUUUGGAAAGGAAUUUGGAAGGCACGUAACUUCUAAAAAUUUCCAUUUACAACUGGUUCAUUUUCUGAGCUGCUACGAAGACCGAGCAAACACCUUGUCAGUGUUUAAUCCCAAACUGAUAGCUAUAGCUUGGAAAGGGGAAAACAGGUCUGAUUUAAUAAGCCAAGAGAUAAGCCAAACACCCACAAAUGCUAAUUUACAGCUGCAAAGGCCCCUGCUUUAAAAUCAUCCUCAUGAAUCACAUGUUUCUGAAGAAGUAACUGUGCAUCUGAAAAAUUAUGUUCUUUGGUAAUGCCCCAGGCAGCAUGUUUUGGCCACCUCACCCCAGUAAGUUGUAAGUAACCCGCUCCUUUCUACUUUUAAUUUUUGAGAUUAGCUGCUUGCCACCAGCCCUGCUUUCCUGGCCACUGUCACCUGGCAGGGGUGUGUUGGGGCGGGGACUCCAGCUGCCUGUGUGGGCCUCCCUUCCGGUCCAGUGGUGCUGCUGCUCUGUCCCAGAGGCUCAGCGGGUCACCGUGUGGACAGGGACAGGGAGCUGCCCCUGCUCCACCCACGCAGUCUCUCCCUGUGGGGUUAGGCUAGGGGCAGGUGGCCGGAGGCCCCUCGUGCAGCCUCUUCCCUGCAUCUGUCUGGAGGAAGGGCACUGCAUAACUUGGGUCUGAAUCUUGUCCCCAGGACCACGGGGUUAAAGACUUGGUUGGUGCCUGGGGUGCCACCAGGAGGCAGAGCCUCAUGGAAGGAGGUUAGGUCAUCAGGGCCAUGUCCUUGAGGGGAUACGGGGCCCUAACCCUUCUCUCCUCUCUCCGUAUUCCGGCUGCCGGGAGGCGAGCAGCUCCCUGUACCACAGGCUCCAGCCGUGAUGUACUGCGCUGCCGCAGGACCAGAGCGCAGCGCCAGAGACCAGGACUGGAGCUCUGAAACCGAGAGCCAAAAUAAACCCUUCCUCCUCAUCUUGUGCUUGUCUCAGCCCAGGCUGGCCUCAAACCCACGGUGAUCCUCCCACCUCAGCCUCCAGAAUGCUGGUUAUGGGUGUGUGCCACUACACCCAGUGAGAUUUCUUCAUAGAAGAACACUGCUGGCCUUGAACUCAUUAUGUAGCCCACAUGGCCUCAAACUCAUGGAAAUCCUGCUGCCUCAGCCUUCCGAGUGCUGAUAGUACAGGUUUAAAGAAUGAAGCAACAACUCCACUAUGCAGGAAGGUGCUUUGGCAUUGGGUUCUUUGUGGGCAGAGUGGCCUCUCUCUUUUCUAUCAGGUAGAUGGUCCUGUCACCCACACUGGCUUCUUACUCUGUUGUGACCCUUUUUCAAUUUCAACACAGAAGACUUCCCCAUCCUUGAUUCCCAGGGUUCUAAGGAAUGAAAAACACUAACCCUGCAAUCCUUAUCACCAAGAACUGUGCACCCUAGUGACAUGUAAAGUUUCCUUCAACACUUUUAGGGUCAAGGUUCUAGCAAACAAAAAGGACAAAGAAAGAAAAGUAGAGCAAAAGAUGUUGUUUCUGUUGCUAAGAUUUCAGGAGAAGGGAUCAAACUGAGGACCUUGUGCUCGCGAGGUACCGUGAAGAACUCCCAUUUCACAGAUGAGGAAACGGAGGCAGGAAGAGCAUGAGUCAUGUGGCCAAGGUUUCAGAUGAUACAUGGCAGAGCCAGGACCAGGGAUUGAGUCCACACAGACAGAGUGUGAGCUCCAAGUCCCGCUUCUCUUCAGCGUUAGAAUGGAGAAAUGAGAGAGACACACGUGGGACCACUACAUGCCUCUGCUCAAGAAUUGUGCAUUGCAACUGGGGAUGCCAGAGCUUUCCCGGUGAAAACAUCACCAUUUAAAAAUGCCAUCAUCCAAAUGUAUUUCCUGCUCAUUGGGGCCAAGCAAGAACAAUUAUGUGGUUCUACAGCACCAUGGGAACCCAACUCUCGCUGUGUUUCUGGCCAGCAUGAACAAGCUCUAUGGCCUUUCCUGUCUCCAAAAAACAAAAGCCUACAUGCAAGAAUUCUUUUGUUUGGAGACAGGAUCUUGCUCUGUAGCUCAGUCUGGCCACAAACUCGUGGCAAUCCUCCUGCCUCAGCCUCACAAGUGCUGGGAUUACAGGCCUGUGCCACCAGCCUGGCUUCGUGCAAGAAUUCUUAUUCAUAAGCUACAGUUUAUAAAGUUUUAUCAAGUGCCAACAUUAAAACCCAAUUUACUUAUUUCCCUUCAA
ensembl:lncRNA